CUGCGUUCCCUCCAUGCCUGCGGGCGGGUGAGCGCUCCCGUGUUCGGACUGGAGCGUCUUUCAUUCCCAUGUGCUGAGCGGGGUUUGAUUUGCUGUCGCUCUUCCUCAGCAUCAGCUUUGAUUUGGUGAUGAUGCCCCGCAUAGGCUCAAGCUCCCCAGCCUGGACCGACUUGAACUCUGGAUUUUAGUCUUGUGAAUCCUGUGAACAAGGACGAAAUUGGCUGUUAUUGGCUCUCAGCUAGGCAGACCCGACGUUUCGGUAACAGUUUCUGGCGACCCAGAUGGGACUUUCAUAGCUCGGACAUUGGACUCCGGACGGCUGCGGCAAACUAGGAGCGGCGCCACUAGGGUGUUUAGCCCCUCUUCCUCACUUCACUGCGGCCCCUGGGGUUUGUGCUCCUAUAAGUCACUGCUUCCCAGGAUAGACUCACCUGGGAACAACUUCAAAAGGGGAGACUGAAAGGUCCUAACAUCAAACUAUCAAACUCAGUGGUUAGUGUACUCUCCUGACAAAUAGGCAACCCCCUGUUCAAAUUCUUCCUUGCCCUCUGGUAGAGAGUGGGUGGCUUCAGUCUGGGUCUCCCACAUCCUAGGUGAGUGCUAUAAUCACUGGAUUAAAGUUAUAAAGUGAGUGAUGGCACCACCUCCUCCACUGACUGUUUUAUGUGGAGUGAAGCCGGUGCCUAACUCAUUUUUGCACGAAACACCUAAGCUGCCUGACUCCAGAAAAGAGGUUUGCGUUUGGGGAUGAUCACUUAGCUCUGGUCUACACUAUGAGUUUAAGCUGAAUUUAGCAGUGUUUGAUCGAUUUAACCCUGCACCCAUCCACGUGACGAAGCCAUUUAGGUCAUCUUAAAGGACUCUUAAAAUCGAUAUUUGUACUCCUUCCCGGUGAGGGGAUUAGUGCUAAAAUCAACAUCGCUGGGUCAAAUUUGGGGUAGUGUGGAUGCAAUUGUACGGUAUUGGCCUUUGGGAACUAUCCCAGAGUGCUCC